AGCUCCAAUAGCGUAUAUUAAAGUUGUUACAGUUAAAAAGCUCGUAGUUGGAUUUGGGGCGGGGGUCGCGCGGUCGGCCGCAAGGUCUGCUACUGUGCGGCCUCGUCAUUUACACUCUCGGAGACCCGUCGUGCACUUCGCUGUGCGCGGCGCGGGACUCGGGACGUUUACUUUGAAAAAAUUAGAGUGUUCAAAGCAGGCUUCAUCAAGCCUGGAUACAUGAGCAUGGAAUAAUGGAAUAGGACCGCGGUUCUAUUUUGUUGGUUUCUACGACCGCAGUAAUGAUUAAGAGGGACAAUCGGGGGCGUCCGUAUUUCGUUGUCAGAGGUGAAAUUCUUGGAUUUACGAAAGACGAACAACUGCGAAAGCAUUCGCCAAGAGUGUUUUCAUUAAUCAAGAA
rnacentral:rRNA from 1 species